rnacentral:misc_RNA from 1 species
CGCACCUUGCGCUCCUUGGUAUUCCGAGGAGCAUGCCUGUUUGAGUGUCAUGGUAUUCUCAAUUCUCCGAGUCUUUUUUUGUGAGACUCUGGUGAUAUUGGACUUGGAGGAUAUUGCUGGAAUCUUGCAGGUGCCAGCUCCUCUCAAAUGUAUCAGUAUGAAUGUUCACUUCAUGCUCAGUGUGAUAAUUAUUUGCACUGUGUCUGAGUGUCAUAAAUUCAUGCUUCAAACUGUCGCAAGACAAUUGUAUUUGACUUCUGACCUCAAAUCAGGUAGGACUACCCGCUGAACUUAA